rnacentral:rRNA from 1 species
UACGAAGGGGGCUAGCGUUGCUCGGAAUCACUGGGCGUAAAGCGCACGUAGGCGGCUUGUUAAGUCAGGGGUGAAAUCCUGGAGCUCAACUCCAGAACUGCCUUUGAUACUGGCGAUCUUGAGUCCGGGAGAGGUGAGUGGAACUGCGAGUGUAGAGGUGAAAUUCGUAGAUAUUCGCAAGAACACCAGUGGCGAAGGCGGCUCUCUGGACAGGUACUGACGCUGAGACGCGAAAGCGUGGGUAGCAAACAGG